AACAAACGCUGGCGGCGUGCCUAACACAUGCAAGUCGUACGAGAAAGGGUCCUUCGGGAUCUGAGUAAAGUGGCGCACGGGUGAGUAACGCGUGGGUAAUCUCCCCUUGGAUUUGGGAUAACUCUGCGAAAGUGGAGCUAAUACCGGAUAGUCUGGCUUUAAUUGAUAAGUCGGUAAAGGAUGCCUCUGCAUAUGCAUUCGUCCAAGGAUGAGCCCGCGUCUCAUUAGCUAGUUGGUAGGGUAAUGGCCUACCAAGGCAACGAUGAGUAGCUGGUCUGAGAGGAUGAUCAGCCACACUGGAACUGAAACACGGUCCAGACUCCUACGGGUGGCAG
rnacentral:rRNA from 1 species